AAUUCUGUUGUGUGCACAUCACAGAGUACACUUACACAAACCUAGAUGGAAGAGCCUACUGCACACCUAGGCUGAAUGGGACCAGCCUGGCCAACAUGUUGAAACCUCAACUCUACUAAAAAUACAAAAAUUAGCCAGGCUUGGUGGCAUGUGCCUGUAAUCUCAGCUACUUGGGAGGCUGAGGCAGGAGAAUCACUUGAACCUGGGUGGUGGAGGUUGCAGUGAGCCGAGAUCACCCCACUGCACUCCAGCCUGGGCGACAGAGCAAGACUGACUCAAUUUAAAAAAAAAAAGAUAAAAAUGGUGCAUCUCUAUAGGGCGUUUACCAUGCCUGGAGCUUGUGGGACUGGAAGUUGCUCUGAUACGCAGCCUGGUCUACAGGAAGAAUUCUAUGUAUAUUUGCUGAAGAGACAAAGAAGGAUGUGGAUGAAUUGGAUGUGGAGAAUGAGAGGAAAGAAAAUGUCAAGGAUGGCUCUAAUUUCUGGCUUAUGCAACUGAGUGGUGCCAUUGAGAGAGCAGACUCUCUCUCUUGCCUUCUUGGUUGGCACACUGGGGAGAAGCGAGCUGCAGCGUUGGAGAGGCCCAUGUGGCAAGGGACUGAGAGCAGCCUCUGGCCAACAGCCGGUAAGCAACCAGUGAGCAACCGAGGCCCUCAGUCCCACAGCAUGUGAGGAACUGAGUCCUGCCAAUGAUCAUGUGAUACUGAAGGAGGGUCUUUCUUUAGCUGAUCCUACAGAUGAGAAUCUAGCCCUUGUGCUGCCUCAUGAGAGACCCUGGAGCAGAGGCCCCAGCUG
rnacentral:lncRNA from 1 species